CGCAACCGGACGCAGGCACGGCACCACGCCAUCUGUGCUCAUCACACCACACUCCCCACAUUCUCCGCGGGCAAGGAUGUCAUGCAGGCCAAACUACGAUUCGUCCUCUGCAAGGUGUCGCGCUGGACACUGGAGCACGCCAGGCAGCUGGAUGAGCAUCCCCCAACACAUGGCGCACACCCGCCGGUGCGCGGCACCGCGACCAGCAGCAGCUCUCCGCUGCACGCAGUCACCUCAUCACGCACGUCUCAUCCGCGCUGCACAGGCUGCCCCCGUCGGUUGCCUGUCGCUAUCCCCACUACACCCUCUGUGCCCCCACACAACGGCAGGCUGUGAGCUCUCUGUAUGCGCGGGCGCAUGCGGAUCCACCAGCACCCUCUGCCCGGCCACAGCCCCAAGACUGUGAAGGGCGUGCGGGCGGAGAGGAGGCUGGAGCGUCUCCUGCCGCCGCCGGCGCAGGGCAGUAUCCGGACUGUCGCGGCAGCAUGCGGGCAAGCCAUCCAGGCACGCCUCCCCUCCUCCUCCACCUCCCCCAGGCAAGAACGCCGUCUUGACGCAGGCCGCGGGAUGCCGCAAAUGCGAGCACGGCGCCUGCGCGCCGUGGGGCACAGCCGGCACGGUGUACCACGCCCAGGCACAGCAUCCGGCGGUCAGCGGAGCGCGAGUGAGGGGCGCGAAGCGGCCCAUGCCGAUCACCCCCCUCCCCCGACGAGCAUGCCUGCGAAGCAUGCGGCACAGCCCGUCUGCAUCCCGACGGGGCGGGCUGAUGAGGCGCAGACGCCGGAAGCAUGGCGAGAGCACCGCCGAGCCCUGCAGACUCCCACGCGACGAGUCGCCGCGCCGGAUUACGGAAUAGCGCGACUUGCAGCGGCUCUGGGCGCAGGAGCACGGCACGCAGGCCGGGCCUCAGAGGGCCCUGCCCCGAGGCUGGCCCGCCUCCUCCUCGAGCUCGUGCGGCGUGCGCGGUGGCCGCCCCCUGUUACGCGGGCGACAGAGACGCCGUCGCCACUGCCCUGGAGCGCAGGACGCUGCAGGCGACCCUGCUUGGAUCGAGGCAUGCGCCCCAGCGGAGGCCCGUCUGGCGCCCGAGGCGCAUAGCACGUAUGCGAAAGCAGGGACGGGGAAGGGCAGGCGGAGCCCGUUAGAUGCAUGGCUCCGGCCUUGAAGGCAGGACGGUUCGUCCCAGACGACGAGGGUGCAGCUGUUGUGCGGCAGAGACAGAUGCGCGGUGGUUGCGUAGGCGAAGAUUUUGCUGCCAUGUGCUUGUUGGUGGAAUGACGCUUUGACGAAAACGUUUUCUUUUUGGUGUUUGUUUCCUACUUGUAACUGUUUGCAUAGUUGCCACCCCUCCCCCUUGUUUGCGCGCGCGCGGUGGGAAAAGCGAAUGUGUGGAGAAUCUCGAGGAGCUCUUUUCUGAUGAAUGCUCAUGUGCCAGUUUGUACGUGAAGUAGGCGUGCGCGGCGUGAUGAAUGUUAUGCCUGCUAAUGUAAAGUAGUCGCAGCUUGCUCUUGUAUGGGCUUUUUUGGUGGUGCAUACUCUUUUCGCGUCUUCCUGCGUUGCCUAUCUUAUUGAUGGCACAAGUGUGUCCAAUCCCGCAGGUCGCUUCGACGCAGCGCCAUCCAGGGCCUGACGGUCAAUAUCAGCAGCGAUACAUACCUCUGACCUCCUCACAUCGUAGGUACUCGACCCUGUCACCAUCAGCAGUAGUACCGCAUUGGAAGGGAAAAGGGCCGCUGAGCUCCCCCCCCCCCCACACACAGAGUGAGCGCUGCGCUCUGAGACACUGCGCGCUUGAGGUGUGCUCUCUGUCACGAAGCGAUUUCGGUGCGGAUGUGAAAAAAGGGCGAAAAACGGAGACAGCGCGUCCGUUUGUUCAGAAUUGUUUGGCGAUGCGCAUGUGGUGGUUUGCUCUCUGCGCAUUGGGGCCUGGAAAGGAGUAGUUGAUCUUCGGGUAGAAUAGCAUUGACUUCCUGGGUGCGCACGUUUUUCGUUCCUCUCUCGCUCUUUGUCUGUCUCUAUGUCUUGGUGUAUGCCAGCACUGCUCGGUUGUGGCGCAUUUGAUGCAGGACGUAUAAGAAGCAUCAUUAUUCUAUUUUCCACCGUGCGCCUGUCCUCGUUGUGCCUCCCUCCCUGUGUGUGGUCGCAUGUGUGUGUGUGUGCUCAAGGAUAUUGUUUCUUCAUUGCGUUUGCUAUUCAUGCUGUGCGUUGCAGCGGAGUCUCUAUCUCUCUGUGUGUUUACGCAGCGCCCCUUCUCCACGUUCCCGCCCAGCUGCCUCCCCCUACGCGGUCGCUUUCUUUGUACGUCUUUUGUGUUGCUGCCGUCGUCCCCUUUCGUCGUAUAUUGGUGUGCUGCGAUCUUCAUCUCUUGCCUGCUUUGUUUUGCAUCUCUGUCUCUCUUUCUUUGACUCUUGUACUUCCUUUCUGCGUGUCGUGGCGUGCGGAUGUGUAUAUAUGUGUGCGUGUGUGUGUGUGUGUGCGUUCCAUUCCUUUUAAGGCCCCUUGCCGCCGUUCUCCCCUUCUGUUUUUCCUUUUCGUCCCCCUCCCUCACACUCUUUUUCUUCUCUCUCGCUAUUUGCGGCUCUUCUCCCUCUGGCAGCAUCCGUCACCUCGCCGGCCUCCACCGCUCUAUUACCACGCUUCGCUCAACUCUACCAUUGUUUCGUUUUCUUUCUCCUCUUCGUUCUUCGUGUGUUUUUUCCUGCUGUUUUUUUUUUUCUCUUUUUUUUUUUGCGUGCGUGUCUAUCUCUGUGUGUGUCUGUUGUCCCUCCCUCCAUCUUUUUUUUUCAUGCACACCACUGUGGCCAUGGCGCCGUACAGAUGAUACAGAAGAAAAGGCGCACGGAAGAUAAACGAGAUGGCCGCGAAAAAAAAAAGAAAACGAACGGCGCGCUCGACACCGUCGGUCCUCUCGUGCUUUGUGUGUGUGUGUGUGCGGUACAAAUGCCGACCGUGCAGCGAUCUGCUUCCUGGCUGACGAAAAACAGCCGCCUUGUCGUCCGCAUCCGUGUCAAGUUCCUUUGUCGCACUCUUUUGCAACCACACAAGUGAACUGUUUCUUUCCCUCGUCGCUGAUCGUCCGGUUUGCUUCUGCUCCCCCUUCCCUUCAGCUCCCUCUUCACUUUCUUUCUUCCCUAACAUCGACGCACGCGCGUUGGCCACCGCAUGGCUUUGCACGUCCACCUCCUCACCUCCGUGCGCACACACAAACACACACGAACACAACAG
rnacentral:misc_RNA from 1 species